GACGUAGGGCGCGAGCGUUGUCCGGAUUUAUUGGGCGUAAAGAGCUCGUAGGCGGCUUGUCGCGUCGAAUGUGAAAACUCGGGGCUCAACUCCGAGCUUGCAUUCGAUACGGGCAGGCUAGAGUUCGGUAGGGGAGACUGGAAUUCCUGGUGUAGCGGUGAAAUGCGCAGAUAUCAGGAAGAACACCCGUGGCUAAGGCGGCUCUCUAGUAACGGUACUGACGCUGAGACGCGAAAGCGUGGGGAGCGAACAGG
rnacentral:rRNA from 1 species